AAUUGGUGAUGGGGACAUUGGUUUAUGAGGAUAUUUUAAUGUUCCCAGGCCUCAUGGAAUAAUUCACCAUUUUGCUAUGUGAAGAAGUGGAUUUUGUUCUUUAAUUU